rnacentral:lncRNA from 1 species
CCUGAAUUGGUGUGUGUGCAUGUGCGCGUGUGUAUUUGCAGAUGCUGUACCUCAUUUCCAGACCAAUGCCAGCUGCGAGGAGGUUGCCGAUUGAAGCGAGUGGGGAAUCUGAGCAUGUGGAGGCAGACAGACAGGGUGAGCAGGAGAAUCAUGGGUUGUGGAAGAGUGUUACUGACACAAAUACGACUGGGAGGAAAUCUGACUUGGCACUAUGGAAACACGCCCCCCUUCCGUUUCCUAGUAAAACUCCCAGAAUACCAGACUGUGCUCAUGGCAGGGGCUGUCCCCUGAGCUGUAACUGUCCAUCAGGAGAAGUGAACAUAACCAAAUCCCCGAUCAGUCUUCACUGUCCACUGCUCCUCGUCUCUGCUUGUGUACAGUACAUUAUACUACCAGGAACACUUCUGAUUGUUAAUCUGAGGUGAAGUACACCUUAAUCUGAGAGUUUUAAUAUAUGAUGCUGACUAAGUGUAAUUUGUGUGUGUGUUUGACAGCAUUAGUGGGGCUGUCUCUCCCCUGUGUUGUCGCCUUACUGACGGACAGCCCCUGCCUCAGCAGCUGCAGGUCCUGGCUGACUGUCACUUGUGGGCCUACAGAUAAAACAGGAUCAUGCGUACAUGGCUGUGUAUAUAGAACAUUUACUGAUAAUACUCCUAUACAAACUAAAUGUUUACUUUUAUUUCAAUGUUAUUUUUGAGAGUGAUGAUUGAGUUCAUGUGCUAGUUCAAAGAAGGGGUGUCAUGCCCCGUUCCCUCUGCCCCGCCUCUGCUCCUGGAAGCCUGUCUGGACUGUGUAUGGGAGGGCCAGGGGAGUGGCCAGGGCACUCUGGCAGAGCAGCACAGACAGGUGAGGACAAUUAUUUUCCCUAUCAUAAAGUUUUUCAAACUCAACCUAGAUGUUUGUUCAAUAGAUUCACUAGCCAUGUUUGUAAUCUUUGACAGAGUGGACAUGUAACACAGCCAAUUAAGAAAAUCUAUUUCACACCACCUAAAAGACAGAGGUCAACGUGCAAAGAAAACGAAACCCACACAUACGUAGGUUUCUUAAUAUAUACAGUUAAGGCAAAAUAUAUUGGCACCCUUGUACUUUGUUCAAAUUAUUCCUUAUUUCUUCUAAAAUAAGUUGAAAUUGAAAAAAAAGUUUGGUCUUCACACCUUAUUGGAUUUUCAACAUUGCAAUUGGCAACCCAGAGCUAGCACUUGGUUGCACAGCUUUUAUCCAAGAUAACGGCCAACAAAUGUUUCUAGUGGCCAUCAAUGAGCUUGCUGCACCUUUCUACUGGCACUUUGGCCCACUCACAGCAAACUGCUGAAGAGGGGUGGCCUCCACCAACUGCUGUUUUUCAGAUUUUGCCAUAGGUUAUUGAUGUGAUUCAGAUCUGGACUCUUCACUCACCACUCCAGAUCAGUCCAGUCCUCCUCCGAGAACCAUUCCAGGGUGCGUUUUAUGUAUUUUUGGGGUAGUUGUCCUACUGGAAGACACACAACCUUGAUCAGAGACGGUUUUUGAACACUGGGUUGAACAUUGCACUCCAAAA